UGACCGCUCUCCCCCGCUUCCUGCCGCAGCCUAAGAUGGCGGCUGAGGUGGACUUCGGGGAUCGCGAGCUCUUCGAGCAGCUGGACGGUGACGAGGCGGCGGCCCCGACGGUGCAGCCGCUUCACACCCGCUUCGAGGAGGAUGAGGAGUUGGGGGAGGCCGGGGAGACGCUGCGGGAGCGGCUGAGGGACUCCGAGGAGACGGUGCGGCAGCUGCGGUCCGAGAAUCAAGAACUUAGAAGAAAACUGAAGAUUCUGACACGACCAAGUGGACUUUCAGUGGACAGUUCUAAGUUAGAUGGACCUUUGCUACAGAUUUUAUUUAUGAACAACGUUAUUUCAAAGCAGUAUCAUCAAGAAAUUGAGGAUUUUAUUUCUAGUUUAGCUCAAAAAUAUGAGGAGCAACAGAGAGCUGAACCAGAAAGGACCCACUUCAAUGUUAAGCCUCAGCCAUCCAGUAUUCUGUUGGAAGAGGACCAUAAAGUGACAAGUUCUAAUACAAUAAAAAAAAUUAAGGAAGCUUUCAGUGUUGUAGGAAGUGUUCUAUAUUUUACCAAUUUUUGUCUUGAUAAACUGGGACAACCUAUAUUAAAUGAAAAUCCACAGCUGACAGAAGGAUGGGAAAUACCCAAAUACCAGCAAGUUUUCAGCCAUAUUCUCUCUCUGGAUGGGCAAGAAAUACAAGUAAAAGCAAAAAGGCCAAAACCUCAUUGUUUCAAUUGUGGUUCUGAAGAGCAUCAGAUGAAAGAUUGUCCAAAGCCACGGAAUGCUACCCGUAUAAGUGAGAAAAGAAGAGAGUUCAUGGAAGCCUGUGGUGAAGCAAGUAACCAGAACUUUCAGCAACGUUAUCAUGCAGAUGAAGUAGAAGAGAGGUUUGGGAAGUUUAAACCAGGAAUAAUAAGUGAAGAACUUCAAGAUGCGCUUGGUGUCACAGAUAAGAGUCUUCCUCCAUUUAUAUAUCGCAUGCGGCAGUUGGGUUACCCCCCAGGUUGGCUCAAAGAAGCUGAACUGGAGGAUUCAGGACUUGCACUUUAUGAUGGAAAAGAUGCUACUGGUGGUGAAACAGAAGAUGAAAGAUCCUAUCAACAAAACAAGUGUGUCACUUAUGAUAUCUCUAAGUUAAUAAACUAUCCGGGCUUUAAUAUGUCUACUCCAAGUGGGAUCUCUGAUGAAUGGAGGAUAUUUGGUUCCAUACCCAUGCAGCCAUCUCAACAGAAGGACGUUUUUGCUAGCUACCUUUCUAAUUUUCAGGUGCCAAGUCCAAAAUCUAGCAAUAAAAGGUCUGCAUAUCCAUCAAGUUCUCACAAUUCAAAGAAGGUAAAAGGAGACAAUUCAGCAGUAUCAGUAGCUGACAUGGACAUGGAUUCCGAUUUGGAAAUGCCACACAGUUCUCUAUCUUAUGACAGUUUUCAGUUCCAACCUCCACUGCCACCUGGGUCUCCAUCGAUUGCAACUCCUCCCCCACUGCCACGAGGAACUCCUCCACGUACUCCACCCAACUUCACAUCCCCUCUACCUCCAGCGCCUACUGCCUCACUUCGCAGGAAUACUCCAGCAUCAACUCCUUCCAGUGAUUCUGCUCAGCCAAGAGUGGGGGAUUCAGCCAUGGAUGAAGAUACUUUGACCCUAGAAGAACUUGAGGAGCAGCAGCGAUUGAUUUGGGCUGCACUUGAGCAGGCAGACAGUACAAACAGUGACUCUGAUAUACCUGCUGAUACACCUUUAACUGGAAACUCUGUUGCAUCAUCACCAUCUAGGAAUGAACUGGACAUUAUUCCAGAAGGAAGAACAUCUGAGAAGCUGGUUGCAAUGGAAAUUGGGAUAUCAGAUACUAGUAUGCAGAUAUCCAGAACUGAACAUUCUAAAAGUGACCCUAAUUCAGGGGAUGGAUUAUUUGAUCUAAAGGAAGAUGACACUGAUCAUGUGGAUUCUGAAGGCAUGCUGGAGAACAGCACUACAGGCUCAAAAUGUGAGAUUAACAAUGGAGGAAAUGAAAGUGUUACUCAUGUGGUCAAUAGUGCUGAAUCCUCUACAAAAAAUUCAAAUCCUGUUCCUGACAUGAGCAAGUUUGCGGCAGGAAUAACACCAUUUGAGUUUGAAAAUAUGGCAGAAUCAACUGGUGUUUAUCUUCGAAUACGAAGUGUAUUAAAGAAUUCCCCAAGAAACCAGCAAAAAAACAAAAAGGCUUCAGAUUAACUUGUCUUCCUUUAAGGUUUUAUGGUGCCCCCAAAAGAAACUUCAAGUAUCUACCAAAUUGGAUAAUCUCAUGUACCCUUUUGUGAAGAACAUCUUAGUAGUUAGGAGUGGACUAAUAUAGUUCUUCUGCAUUCUUCCCUAGGUUUUUUGUUUUGUUUUUUUUAAGUUCAUGCAGGGCUUCCAUUUGACCAGGACCCGUGUUGACCAUUCAAUACAUGAGAACUUGACUAAAUCAAAACCUUCCAGUAAGGGGUGAAAGGACUAUUGAUUUAUUUGUUCAGCAUAUUUUACACUCUGUGAUACAUGAAACUCUUAAAACAGACACUGCCGCAGAAGAAAAUACACUUUUUGGUCACAUCAAGAAUUUUACUGAAGUUAAAAUUAGACUGAAAAUGAGGUAAGCAAACAAAUGGGGAUCAUUUAACAGCAUCUGUUUUUCACCCAAAAUUAUGCUGUCUCAAAUACUGUGCAAAACUUGGUAGACUUUGCUUGUUGUAGACCUGCAAUAAGGGAGGCAUGGAUUUGGAUUGGUUUUUACUGGUCUGCUGAAGCAGGAAAGGAUUCAUUUUAGGCAAGUGAAGAAUGGGGAAUUUUUUUUUUAUUUCCCCCUUCUCCCUCUUCCCCCCCCCCCCCCCAAAUGACUCUUUCUAUGUAACUUUUGUUCUAGCUUGGCUGUGAGAGUAGCUCCUGACUCUGGAUUGGCUUAUCAAGGUCGCUAGUUCUGGGAGCGCUCUUUGUUACUGUUUACCCAAUGCAGUGAAUGGCAUUUUACGAAACAUGUUAGAGGAAAUCUGAGACUCACCUGGCCUAACUUCAGUGUGGUGUCUGCCCCAGAUAGUUUAUUAUUGCAGACAAAUUAUAUAUGCAACAACAGUUACAAUACAAGAAGGACUGGAGAGAUCACUGAUGCCUAAUGUAGGAAAAGCUUAUUGAAAACAAUUCUGUAAUCUUCCACUCACCUUUGCUGAGAUUAGAUUCCCCAAGUCUGUUAUGUUAUUACAGGAGCCUCUUUCACAAAUAAAAUGUUUAUCUAAAUCUGCUUUACACACCAGCAUGUUUUUACACAAGUCACACUUCUUCCCUCCUAUUUUGUCAUCUGUUCAUUGGACUUUAUACCACAUAAUUACACACACACUAACUGUGGUCCUGUUACUUGUGUUUGCAAGAUUACAUAACACAAUAUUCAGCUGAAUCAGUCAAAAGAUAUCCCAUGCACAAGUCAUGGAGACUACAAGGAGGCAAU